UCGGAACCUCUCUUGCAAGAGAGCAAUGGAAGAAUGAACAGCUGGUUCACUCUGCCUUCCCAUCCGAAAUUAAACUAGAGCCUAUCAAUGGUACUGAGGAGAAUGCUCAUAAGGUGAUCUGAGGUUGCUUUAUUCUUAUAUAUAUAGGACAUUUAUAAGCUUUAAAAGCGUUAAUCUAUUCAAUGUAAGCCCCUUCAAUUGAUUUUAAUGAUGUAGAAGGAAGGAAAAAAAAAGCAGAAUCGGCCGCUGAGAUGUAAAGUCCAAGCAGGCAGAGUUAUGUUGCAAUAUGUUGAGGUAAAAAUAGAUGAUAGGAAGAAAAGGGUGUGACAAAAAAUCCAAACUGAGAUGGAAUGUAGCAUUUGGAUGUGAUUCUUUUUGCAGAAUUAAAGGAUGGUUGAUUCUCUGUCGGCUUGUUGCCAAGAGCUAUUGGCCUUUCAACAAAGAUGAGUGUCCCUUUUUUGGUGGGGGAUCUUCUUAUAUUAUUUUCACCUUUCAACCUUCUAUUCACUUUUGUUGAUCACAUUAGUUUUCGAGUUCGAAUUUUAGUAUCUAUAAUUUUUUUUUCGGAAAAAAAUGAUGACAAAGAGUUGAAGUAGAGAAUAUAUUUUGGACAUUGGAGUUGGAUGGUUUUCUCUAUGCAAGCCCUUUCAUUGAGAAAAAAGAAGCCUCUUUUUUCCUAUUUCUCUCUCUAUCUCUUUUUCAUGUAGUAUUUUGUCAUGAAGUUGUUGGAUAGAAAUGGGUUGGAAGGAGAAAUGUAUAGUUUUUGGAUUCUUUCAAUGGCCAUCGUUGUUGGAACACUCUUGUCUUUGAACUUAAUUGUUGGAAGAGUGGGCGCAAGCUAAAAAGCAGCCUACCCUCCCUAGAUAUCUCAUGGAAUUUAGCUAAGUAUAUUUUGCCUUUUAGCCUGCCCAAAAUCAUGAAAAAGUUGAAUUUGGGUGGUGCAACUUUUUUUUUCAACUUUCUCUUGUCUUGGACCUCAGAUAUCAAUGGUGAUAUUGCUGACGAAUUGUACUGUGUUCCAUAUUAGUGCAAUUAAUUU
rnacentral:lncRNA from 1 species